AUUAAGUUGUUGCAGUUAAAAAGCUCGUAGUUGGAUUUCUGGUUGGAGCGACCGGUCGGGCAUUGAUUUGUCUGCACUGGAGUCGGUUCCGUCCAUCCUCUUGGAAAGUGCGUAUGGCAUUAAGUUGUCGUGCGUAUGAUCCAGGUCUUUUACUGUGAAAAAAUUAGAGUGUUUAAAGCAGGCCUUCGCCUUGAAUACAUUAGCAUGGAAUAAUAAGAUAGGACUUGGGUCUAUUUUGUUGGUUUGCAGACCGAAGUAAUGAUUAAUAGGGAUAGUUGGGGGUAUUUAUAUUCCGAUGUCAGAGGUGAAAUUCUUAGAUUUUCGGAAGAUAAACUUAUGCGAAAGCAUUUACCAAGGAUGUUUUCAUUAAUCAAGAACGAAAGUUAGGGGGUCGAAGAUGAUUAGAUACCAUCGUAGUCUUAACCAUAAACUAUGCCGACUCAGGAUUGGUGAACGUUGAUUUAAUGACUUCAUCAGCACUGUAUGAGAAAUCAAAGUCUUU
rnacentral:rRNA from 1 species